rnacentral:rRNA from 1 species
GACGAACGCUGGCGGCGUGCUUAACACAUGCAAGUCGAACGCUGAAGACCUGGCUUUUGUUGGGUUGGAUGAGUGGCGAACGGGUGAGUAACACGUGAGUAACCUGCCCUCUUCUUUGGGAUAACGCCCGGAAACGGGUGCUAAUACUGGAUAUUCACUGAUCUUCGCAUGGGGGUUGGUGGAAAGGUUUGUUCUGGUGGGGGAUGGGCUCGCGGCCUAUCAGCUUGUUGGUGGGGUGAUGGCCUACCAAGGCUUUGACGGGUAGCCGGCCUGAGAGGGUGACCGGUCACAUUGGGACUGAGAUACGGCCCAGACUCCUACGGGAGGCAGCAGUGGGGAAUAUUGCACAAUGGGCGAAAGCCUGAUGCAGCGACGCCGCGUGAGGGAUGGAGGCCUUCGGGUUGUAAACCUCUUUCGCUCAUGGUCAAGCCGCAACUGUGGGUUGUGGUGAGGGUAGUGGGUAAAGAAGCUCCGGCUAACUACGUG